rnacentral:rRNA from 1 species
GUCUACGGCCAUGUCACCCUGAACAAGCCUGAUGUCUGAUCUCGGAAGCUAAGCAGGGUUGGGCCUGGUUAGUACUUGAAUGAGAGACCACCUAGGAAGACCAGGUGCUGUAGGCA